rnacentral:sRNA from 1 species
CACUAGCCCUGAUUGCAAUGGAAAUCCUUUUCAUUUUUUUCUUUAAAAAAUGAAAAGAUUGAAAUGGAAAGCAGGAAUUAGC